AAUGAACGCUGGCGGCGCGCCUAAUACAUGCAAGUCGAGCGAGAAGACGUAGCAAUACGUUUGUAAAGCGGCGAACGGGUGAGGAAUACAUGGGGUAACCUACCCUCGAGUGGGGAAUAACUAGCCGAAAGGUUAGCUAAUACCGCGUACGCUCCUUGGACUUUGGUUCAGGGAGGAAAGCGAUACCGUGGGUAUCGCGCUCUUGGUUGGGCUCAUGUCCUAUCAGCUUGUUGGUGAGGAACGGCUCACCAAGGCUUCGACGGGUAGCUGGUCUGAGAGGACGAUCAGCCACACUGGCACUGCGACACGGGCCAGACUCCUACGGGAGGCAGCAGUAAGGAAUAUUGCGCAAUGGGCGAAAGCCUGACGCAGCGACGCCGCGUGGGGGAUGAAGGUCUUCGGAUUGUAAACCCCUUUCGGGAGGGAAGAUGGAACGAGCAAUCGUUCGGACGGUACCUCCAG
rnacentral:rRNA from 1 species